rnacentral:lncRNA from 1 species
AAAUUUCAGGAAUGAUUUGUGGAAGGCAGAGGCCUCUCAUCUCGACACUUGAUCAGUAUGUUACAAGUGGCUCGGGAGGAGGAAAUCUAUGCUAUGACCUGAUUAGCCGCAAGCAAGGUGCACACAACGGUGACGUGAUCUAUUAUGUCCUUUGCCGCGUUGCUUACUCUACAUUUAUCACCGUUACUCGUUACCGUCCCCAGCUUUGAUUUAUUUCCUAUGAUACCGACGUAUCAAUCAUGUUCUCCGCCCGGGCCAUGUCUCUUUCGGCAAAGCCAGCUGCUUUAGUAACCUCGAAGCGUGAAUGAUCCAUCAUCGAUAUUUUCCCAUUUGAAGUUUUGGUGGAGAAUCGAUCAUUGAUGUGUUAGUUGCCAACGCCGUGGUUAUCCAUUCUAUUACAUCGGUUUCAAUGGCAGAUCAAUCGAUAUAUCGCAUAGCACGCCACGCCACUAGCAAAAGGAUGGCCUUCGCUCGUAAAAUCCUCUAUUAAAAGUUUAAUUUAAACGCACUCGUUUUUCGACUUGCAACCAGGGAUUUAAGUGAUAACCUUGUUUUAGCUUUUUAACGUCCCUCUCAGAUAACAAUAUCCGGAAGCAGAGGGUUCAAUCUUGUUGUAUUUCGUACGGUUCUUCCAGAAAUUCCGAAUCUUUUGAAGAGAAGAGUUGCGAGGGUCCCGGGAGCCAUAAUCUCGUAUUUAUGAGCCAAGGGAAGAGAAGCGAUGACUAAAUUAUGUAAUGUGCCUUAAAUGUAGGAAGUUGUGCGUGGCCUCGUCAUUACGUCAUGAGGAAGGAGAAGAAGAAAGUGUAACGCUGCCUCUUACGCAAGCCUCCAAUUUAAGGUAUGACGAGUCUUAUAAUAUCGCCUCCUCUUCCAGUUCAAAGUAUGUAUCGUCUUUCUUGAAUAUGUUUCCGACGUAUCGUGUUGCUGUAGAGUUUCCAGUAGUUUACAUGCUUUUUAAGUGUCCUUGAAUCGAUGUUAAAAUCUUAUAUAUUUUAUUAAGAAAUUCUCCAUCCCCAUUUUCAACGGCGAGAACAUCAAAUACAAUUUCAAUUCGAUCUUCGCAACAGAUAUUGGACGCCUAUGCAUUUAUGUUACGAUUGAAGUUCAUCUUAAAAAAAAGAAGAUGGUUGUUGCAAUAUAUCAAGACUAUAUCGUUUUUAAAGAAAUGUUUUCAGCGCCAGUUGAUUUUGAUGAAAAGUAGAAUCAACAAACUACUGAAAGACGCGGGUUAAGAAAGGCACUGGAUUUUUGAUGAAAUCAAAUGAUUUGUAUUGUCAAAAGAUGACAUAGAAGAUAUAUACAUUAAGACACUACACAACAUGUUUUUUCAUCAAAUUUUGUCGAGGAAACUGGAUCACACAAAUAUAAAUUAACUCCUAAAUAUGAUACUCGUAUAAGUGUUUAGAAUUGAUUUUGGUGUAAUGGCAAUUAUAUAGAUGAAGUCAUUUGUGUAAUCCAACUUCCAUUUGAUGUGUGUUUAAAUAUUCCUAACUUCUUAUCUUGUGAAUAGUUUCCUACUUAGUUUGCAAAAUGCAAUCCGAAAAAAAUUAAAGUGUGUCGGAAACCGUGCAACAUCGCCAAAACUUUCACCAAAAGAAAAGGAGAGGAGUUCAAGACUAAUGGUUACUAUCGUGGCAAAUUAAGUGCUCAAACUUAACUGUAUUGACUCAAAAAUAAUCUUUUUACAGGGGAAUUUCCGGGUCAGAAGAGAGGGGAUCGAGGUAGUCUGGAUAACUUAUCCACUUGGACUACAUGCACUAUACCAAUUCUAGCUCUCAGAUAAAAUCACCCAUAUGCAUAGGGAAACAUACAUUGUUUUCUAUGAAAAGUCAGAAUCGGAGUUCUGAAUUGGGAAUGAAGUCCACUGAAAACCAUACGCGUGUGAUUAGAAAAGAGUGAGAAGCUUAGAUUGGUUUCCAAUCUGGCAGCUGUGCUUCGCCUACGGAGUGUUGACAGCAUGAAUGUGCAUUGUCCCGCUCUGGAAGCUCUGGAAAGCUUCCCAGCAAUGUUGCCGAGUUUCGCAGAAUAAUGAGUCAUUUCUGUUGAUGAGUAAAAUUUAUUUUGACGGUUCACUCCCCUGAACAAACCGUUAAGUUGUAACUGAAAUUCGAACGGAAAUAUUAGAAACUAAGGACCUAA